rnacentral:pre_miRNA from 10 species
UGGAGAUCCUGCUCCGUCGCCCCAGUGUUCAGACUACCUGUUCAGGACAAUGCCGUUGUACAGUAGUCUGCACAUUGGUUAGACUGGGCAAGGGACAACA